UACCAGCACCCCGAGUGGUCGGGACGUUUUAUUGGGCCUAAAGCAUCCGUAGCCGGUUCUACAAGUCUUCCGUUAAAUCCACCUGCUUAACAGAUGGGCUGCGGAAGAUACUAUAGAGCUAGGAGGCGGGAGAGGCAAGCGGUACUCGAUGGGUAGGGGUAAAAUCCGUUGAUCCAUUGAAGACCACCAGUGGCGAAGGCGGCUUGCCAGAACGCGCUCGGACGGUGAGGGAU
rnacentral:rRNA from 1 species